GGGAGGCAGCAGUGGGGAAUAUUGCACAAUGGGCGCAAGCCUGAUGCAGCCAUGCCGCGUGUAUGAAGAAGGCCUUCGGGUUGUAAAGUACUUUCAGCGGGGAGGAAGGCGGUGAGGUUAAUAACCUCAUCGAUUGACGUUACCCGCAGAAGAAGCACCGGCUAACUCCGUGCCAGCAGCCGCGGUAAUACGGAGGGUGCAAGCGUUAAUCGGAAUUACUGGGCGUAAAGCGCACGCAGG
rnacentral:rRNA from 2 species